UACGAAGGGGGCUAGCGUUGCUCGGAAUGACUGGGCGUAAAGGGCGCGUAGGCGGAUGGCACAGUCAGAUGUGAAAUUCCCGGGCUUAACCUGGGGGCUGCAUUUGAUACGUGUUGUCUUGAGUUCGGAAGAGGGUCGUGGAAUUCCCAGUGUAGAGGUGAAAUUCGUAGAUAUUCGCAAGAACACCAGUGGCGAAGGCGGCUCACUGGCCCGAUACUGACGCUGAUGCACGAAAGCGUGGGGAGCAAACAGG
rnacentral:rRNA from 1 species